AGAGGGGUCAACAGAUUUAUCAAGCUCCAAGGUGGGUUGGGUACGGGGGUAUAAUAGGGGAAAAUCUGGACUUUGUUCGGUAACUGAACUAAAAAGGGAAAAACGUACAAGCAGAGUAUUUUCAGUGACUGGGUGUUCUGUCAAAAGUGGGUCUAGGCCAAAAAAAUAUGUGUGCUAAACACCAUAACUAAUAGCUACAGAAAAAAAUUUGCAAGAAAACUUUCAGCUCAUUUUCUUUGUUCCGGCACUACAAAUCUGCUCAGGGAACAAGAAUUGCUCACAGAAUCUUUAAAGCUCCAACGGAAAGGAAUAAUAGAUCAAGUUCCUUACAACAAGCAAUUUCAAGGAGUAUACUCCAGAUACUUUUGGUAGAAAAGCCAAACAAAUUGUUUUUCCCAGUUUUGAAUCUGAAAAGGG